rnacentral:rRNA from 1 species
UACAGGGGGUGCAAACGUUGCUCGGAAUUAUUGGGCGUAAAGCGCGCGUAGGCGGCCACUUAAGUCGGAUGUGAAAGCCCCUGGCUCAACUGGGGAAGUGCACCCGAAACUGAAUGGCUUGAAUACAAAAGAGGGCCGCGGAAUUCCCGGUGUAGAGGUGAAAUUCGUAGAUAUCGGGAGGAACACCAGUGGCGAAGGCGGCGACCUGGGCCAAUACUGACGCUGAGGUGCGAAAGCGUGGGGAGCAAACAGG